rnacentral:sRNA from 1 species
AUAUUUUUCUUCUGGUUCGUUCUUUGUCAAGUCGACUUCUUC